rnacentral:rRNA from 1 species
AUUGAACGCUGGCGGCAGGCCUAACACAUGCAAGUCGAACGAGUGGCGGACGGGUGAGUAAUGUCUGGGACACUGCCUGAUGGAGGGGGAUAACUACUGGAAACGGUAGCUAAUACCGCAUACCAUCGGAUGUGCCCAGGUGGGAUUAUCUAGUAGGGGGGGUAACGGCUCACCUGGGCGACGAUCCCUAGCUGGUCUGAGAGGAUGACCAGCCACACUGGGACUGAGACACGGGCCAGACUCCUACGGGAGGCAGCAGUGGGGAAUAUUGCACAAUGGGCGCAAGCCUGAUGGAGCCAUGCCGCGUGUAUGAAGAAGGCCUUCGGGUUGUAAAGUACUUUCAGCGGGGAGGCGUUACCCGCAGAAGAAGCACCGGCUAACUCCGUGCCAGCCGCCGCGGUAAUAC